rnacentral:rRNA from 1 species
GACGAACGCUGGCGGCGUGCUUAACACAUGCAAGUCGAACGGAAAGGCCCCUUUGGGGGUACUCGAGUGGCGAACGGGUGAGUAACACGUGAGUAACCUGCCCUUGACUUCGGGAUAACUUCAGGAAACUGGGUCUAAUACCGGAUAGGAAUCCUUGCUGCAUGGUGGGGGUGGGAAAGCUUCGGCGGUUUUGGAUGGACUCGCGGCUUAUCAGCUUGUUGGUGGGGUAGUGGCUUACCAAGGCUUUGACGGGUAGCCGGCCUGAGAGGGCGACCGGCCAAAUUGGGACUGGGAUACGGCCCAGACUCCUACGGGAGGCAACAGUGGGGAAUAUUUCACAAUGGGCGGAAGCCUGAUGCAGCAACGCCGCGUGCGGGAUGACGGCCUUCGGGUUGGAAACCGCUUUCAGCAGGGGCGAAGCUUGUGGUGACGGUACCUGCAGAAGAAGCACCGGCUAACUACGUG